rnacentral:lncRNA from 1 species
GCAGGCAUGGCCUGCCGAAGGCUGGGUUGCCUCAUCCCAGCUCCCCUGCCAUCAGUGGAUCUGUAGGGACAGCGGAGCCCAGGCUGCGGAGUGGGCUCUUACCCUGUGCAGUACAGGGCAGGCUGGGAAGACCAUGGCUGGCUUGCUAGGGCCCAGAAUCCAGGGGUUAUUCCUUCUCCUCGCUAGGGUCGGUCCUGGGGAUCCGCCAAGGUGUCCGGCCAUCAGGUGGGGUGGGAAGCCUGGGCAUGUGCUGCAGCCUGGAUGACAAGUGUGUCCACAGGCAGCCGGACUAGGUAAUUUCCUAGCCCGAGUGGCACCCACACCACUCGCUGGUGUGGAUGGAAGGCUUUUAUGGAAUUCUGCGUGUUCCUAUGAUGAUGAGUCAGACCAGCUUCCCGAUGGCCUUUGGCUUGCUGGUCUGGUACUCGAUGAGAGCCAGAAGCGGUAUGGAAACCAGCCAGUCGGGGUUAUCUCAGCCAUCCCUUGACUGUCUUCAGAAAGUGCCCCUGGAAGGGAGUGUCCUGCACAGUGCUCCUCGCCAUCCACCUUGGAGGACGGAACCGCGGCGUGCCAGAUCCCUGUAGGAGCACAGGCUGGCCUUAGGCUGUGGCAAACCAGCCAGCAUUGCCUUUGAAGUUAGGGCUAGGGAAGCCGGAUUCUGGGAAGAUAGUGGUGGCAUCCCCGCAGCCACACAACUAGGCUACAGAACCUAAAACCACGGGUAAGCUGAACUGUAUGCUUUAAAGUCGCAAGAACAGCCACGCUUGUUGUAUGAACAAGAAGGACAUCCAGUGGACAUCGUUUAUGAUAAAGCCAGGUGAUAAGUGCCUCUUGGGAGACAAGCAUAGGUCAAACCACCAAGAGCCAUAAGAUGCAUGUGACCCGCAGGUUCUCAGUGUUGGAAGGGAGGCAGGGGUUGAGAGCAGCAAAACAGGCUGGGCUGGCCACUCUCCUGUAACCCCCAUGGCUGACCAGCGCAGAGCUCUAUGGACAGGUCUAGGAGAAGCAGAAUGGGCCCUUAGAACCCUAAACUGACUGCCAGGACUCCCUCCUAGAAAGGUCCCUGCCGCAGUCUGGCUGGGCACACAAUCACGAGCCACCACACAGCUUGUAGAUUCAAACAGCAACUCUUUAUUCCCGAACUCACACCAGCACUCUACAAUCACGUUCUGGGGAAAUCCACGUUCUCUGCCCAAAUCCACCCCCACUGGGCUUCUGUCUCCCAAAAAAUACUGUCUGAAUCCCUUGAGAACUCAAGGGGAACUCAGGCAGCAGGAUAUGCCCUAUUCCCAGCAGGAAUAACCUUAAACCUGGAACCACCCUAAACCCAGAUUGUCCUAAACCGGGAACACCCUAAACCCGGAUCCGCCCUGGUCCUUGAGCAAGGUCACCUUACAUGCAAUGUCACUGCAAAAUGUCCUAUUUCCACGAGUCCUUCCACUAAGCAACAUGGGGUACGCUGGCAAGGAAAUUGUCAUACCUACUUGGCUAAUGGCUCCCAGCAGGUCCCCUGCUGAGGAAUAUAGAUUCAGAGGAGGGGCGAGCCCAGGUGGGUGCAGGACCCUUGAGAGCAGGUGCACAUGUGUCUCAGACCCCACCAAAGAUACAGAAGAGGGAGCUCUGAGCUAGAGACCACCUUCUUCUGAAAGCUGGAAACAUUUU